rnacentral:rRNA from 1 species
AACGAACGCUGGCGGCAGGCUUAACACAUGCAAGUCGAGCGCCCCGCAAGGGGAGCGGCAGACGGGUGAGUAACGCGUGGGAAUCUACCCAUCUCUACGGAAUAACGCAUGGAAACGUGUGCUAAUACCGUUUACGUCCUUCGGGAGAAAGAUUUAUCGGAGAUGGAUGAGCCCGCGUUGGAUUAGCUAGUUGGUGGGGUAAAGGCCUACCAAGGCGACGAUCCAUAGCUGGUCUGAGAGGAUGAUCAGCCACACUGGGACUGAGACACGGCCCAGACUCCUACGGGAGGCAGCAGUGGGGAAUAUUGGACAAUGGGCGCAAGCCUGAUCCAGGCAUGCCGCGUGAGUGAUGAAGGCCCUAGGGUUGUAAAGCUCUUUCACCGGUGAAGAUAAUGACGGUAACCGGAGAAGAAGCCCCGGCUAACUUCGUGCCAGCAGCCGCGGUAACAC